rnacentral:rRNA from 1 species
CCUACGGGGGGCAGCAGUGGGGAAUAUUGGACAAUGGGGGGAACCCUGAUCCAGCCAUGCCGCGUGUGUGAAGAAGGCCCUCGGGUUGUAAAGCACUUUCAGUGAGGAAGAACGCCUGGUGGUUAAUACCCAUCAGGAAAGACAUCACUCACAGAAGAAGCACCGGCUAACUCCGUGCCAGCAGCCGCGGUAAUACGGAGGGUGCGAGCGUUAAUCGGAAUUACUGGGCGUAAAGCGCGCGUAGGUGGCUUGAUAAGCCGGUUGUGAAAGCCCCGGGCUCAACCUGGGAACGGCAUCCGGAACUGUCAAGCUAGAGUGCAGGAGAGGAAGGUAGAAUUCCCGGUGUAGCGGUGAAAUGCGUAGAGAUCGGGAGGAAUACCAGUGGCGAAGGCGGCCUUCUGGACUGACACUGACACUGAGGUGCGAAAGCGUGGGUAGCAAACAGGAUUAGAUACCUCAGUAGUC